rnacentral:rRNA from 1 species
AGAGUUUGAUCAUGGCUCAGGACGAACGCUGGCGGCGUGCCUAAUACAUGCAAGUUGAGCGCUGAAGGUUGGUACUUGUACCAACUGGAUGAGCAGCGAACGGGUGAGUAACGCGUGGGGAAUCUGCCUUUGAGCGGGGGACAACAUUUGGAAACGAAUGCUAAUACCGCAUAAAAACUUUAAACACAAGUUUUAAGUUUGAAAGAUGCAAUUGCAUCACUCAAAGAUGAUCCCGCGUUGUAUUAGCUAGUUGGUGAGGUGAAGGCUCACCAAGGCGAUGAUACAUAGCCGACCUGAGAGGGUGAUCGGCCACAUUGGGACUGAGACACGGCCCAAACUCCUACGGGAGGCAGCAGUAGGGAAUCUUCGGCAAUGGACGAAAGUCUGACCGAGCAACGCCGCGUGAGUGAAGAAGGUUUUCGGAUCGUAAAACUCUGUUGGUAGAGAAGAACGUUGGUGAGAGUGGAAAGCUCAUCAAGUGACGGUAACUACCCAGAAAGGGACGGCUAACUACGUGCCAGCAGCCGCGGUAAUACGUAGGUCCCGAGCGUUGUCCGGAUUUAUUGGGCGUAAAGCGAGCGCAGGUGGUUUAUUAAGUCUGGUGUAAAAGGCAGUGGCUCAACCAUUGUAUGCAUUGGAAACUGGUAGACUUGAGUGCAGGAGAGGAGAGUGGAAUUCCAUGUGUAGCGGUGAAAUGCGUAGAUAUAUGGAGGAACACCGGUGGCGAAAGCGGCUCUCUGGCCUGUAACUGACACUGAGGCUCGAAAGCGUGGGGAGCAAACAGGAUUAGAUACCCUGGUAGUCC